rnacentral:rRNA from 1 species
ACUACGGGUGGCAGCAGUGGGGAAUAUUGCACAAUGGGCGCAAGCCUGAUGCAGCCAUGCCGCGUGUGUGAAGAAGGCCUUCGGGUUGUAAAGCACUUUCAGCGGGGAGGAAGGCGGUGAGGUUAAUAACCUCAUCGAUUGACGUUACCCGCAGAAGAAGCACCGGCUAACUCCGUGCCAGCAGCCGCGGUAAUACGGAGGGUGCAAGCGUUAAUCGGAAUUACUGGGCGUAAAGCGCACGCAGGCGGUCUGUCAAGUCGGAUGUGAAAUCCCCGGGCACAACCUGGGAACUGCAUUCGAAACUGGCAGGCUAGAGUCUUGUAGAGGGGGGUAGAAUUCCAGGUGUAGCGGUGAAAUGCGUAGAGAUCUGGAGGAAUACCGGUGGCGAAGGCGGCCCCCUGGACAAAGACUGACGCUCAGGUGCGAAAGCGUGGGGAGCAAACAGGAUUAGAUACCCGUGUAGUC